CAGAGACAUUAACAGAGUUAGAGACAUUAACACUUAACAACUUUACUUUCCCCUGGAGGCUGCCCAGUUUCUAACUGCUUAGUCUAAUCCUUAAUUUUCAGUCCAGUUCUAAGGAACCUAAUCUGACAGCACCUGUAUUAUUUCUUCUGUUUCAUUACCAAAUGUACUCUUGUCUGCUCAGCAGCUCCAUUCCCUGAAGCCUUGCUAAUUGCCAGUUAUUUUCUCCUCAUUUUCUUUAUUUCACUUGGGAUAUUUUUCAGUCUCUGAAAGAUCUGUACCACAAUCUGCUCUAUCAUCUAUUUAUUUGUUUCCAUUUUUCCUUGAUGAACCUAGGAUUUGGAUCUUGUCUCCUCUUUUAGGUCAAUGCUUGGAUGUCCUCCUCCACAUUUCUUGCAGGCUGGAGAAGCAGGGUGUACCACAGCCUGUGAAGAGACAGAUUCCCUUUUAUUUUUUCUAGUUCUAGCACUUGUGCAAUCCUACUCCUACUUUCCUGAUGGUGAAAAUUGCUAAAUGGAAAAUCUGGCUUUCCAUUUAGUGACUCCAUAAUUUCAGUUUAUAUUUAGGUUAUAUGAGCCCAGUGCUGAGCCCAUGACUCACUGCAGAAGCUGUGAAAGAACAUAUGGUCUAGAAAAUCUCUGAAGGUAUGAGGGGACUGAGCACAGUAAACUGCCCCACAGAUCUGGUGUCUUCACUGGCUUGUCUGAAGCUGUGAUAAAUUCAAAAGUGCUAGGAAUCUUUGUUUCCUCUGGAAAAUUAUUAUUAACUCCACUGCAUUCUAUAGGUGCUGCCAGGCCCCUGAGAGCACUAAGAUGCCCUACCCACCCUCAGCUGAGGCCCUUCCCCCACACCCUGCCCAGGACUCCCAUUUCAGCUCAGGUUGGCCAUCCUGAUUUAAGCUAUGACAUAGUUGUGACUGUGUGACAACCUUCUUCUGGCCUUGUCUGCUGGCUGGAUCCCCUGUACAGACUCCAGCCCCAGAGUUUCCUAGUUCAUCACUUGCUUUGCCUGUGACUGUCUGAAGGCUCUAUUAGCAUCUCUAACACAGAGCAGAGCAACCACUGGGAGUUUCUCAGCCUCAAGGGAACAGCCAUCCCUUGCUAGAGCCCUGACACCCAUUUGGCCAGUCUGAAGGUCAAAAGGAAAAGACAUCUAUAAAAUGCCAGUGUUAAAACAGAGCAAUGAUACUAAAAUUGUACGGAAUCACCUCAAGUUAUCUUUUCUUCCGGCAGAGCUUCUCAGUGUGCAGCUCCAUGGCAGCUUUAUCAUCGUGAGGAAGUUAUUUACGGAAGGCACUGUAGGUGGGAAAAAAAAAUUCCAUCCAUUUGAAAAGCUGGCUGUUUAUGCAGCUCCUCUGUGUUCUAGAUAUCUCUGAAGAGAAGCUGCUGUUCCCAUAACACUCUGGAAGAGCAACAUAAACUCAAGGAACUGACUUAUGCCCUAUUUCCACUAAGUCAUGCAAUUUGGAAAGCUUCAAAAGCCUUUAGCAAUCUGAUGCAAAUGUCAAGACUAAAGUGAACCUAGAAAAAAUACUGCUUUCUCAGAAGGAUCAUCUGUAGAAUGAUGGGAAAAGGAAAGGAGAAGUGUGUUUUGGAAAGCUACUCACUGAUUCACAAAG